GUGCCUGUGGCUCAGAGGCAUAGGGCACUGGCCCCAUAUGCCAGAGGUGGUGGGUUCAAACCCAGCCAAAAACU
rnacentral:tRNA from 1 species